rnacentral:rRNA from 1 species
ACGCUCGACAUACGGGAGCAGCAGUUGGGAAUAUUGGACAAUGGAGGAAACUCUGAUCCAGUGACGCCGCGUGAAGGAAGAAGGUCUUCGGAUUGUAAACUUAUUUUGUCAGGGAAGAAAAAUGACUGUACCUGAAGAAAAAGCACCGGCUAACUACGUGCCAGCAGCCGAGGUAAUCUGAGCGGGCUGGCAAGGC